UUCUUUCCUGUGGGCUUAUGGAUGAGAUAGAGAAGCAUUACUUGUGAACAGUGUGGGAUCAGAGAUGAUCUUUGAGGUCCCUUCUAACACUUAAAUUCUGUUCUUGUUUACUUGGUAUCGCUCAAGUUGGGAAAGAGGCGUAUGCCAAAUCUCAUAUGCUGUGGAGAGACAUGUUGGUUUAACCUGUCUGUGUUAGAAUGAUUGAGCAACAACUAAGUCCGAUUUUUUGAGUGUGGGCAGCAGAGGUUUGUUUAUCAUAUUUGUAUUUGUUUCAAAUUAAACAGAUUUAUCAAAACCACCCUUAGGAUUUCCCCCGACCACAAAGCAUUCUGUGUAAUUGAAGAUAGUUGCAGAUAAUCCAACAAGAGGACUUCUGAAAGGAGUAGAGAUGUGUUUUUGAACCUUUUUUUAAAUAACUCACUUGGUUUUGUUAACCUAAAAAUUUAGGUGAUCCUCUUAAUGGGACUGUUACCUCAUUUAAAAUAUUAAUGAUUCAUUGUUGUGGUAUUGAUUUCUAGACUCUGUGGGUCAGAGAGCUCCCAGAUGGUCUUGGCUGCGUGAUGAUUCAGUCGUGCUUACUAGGUAGAAUUGAGGAUCAUCGUCAGAGUCAGAGAUGGUCCAUCUGAAAAGAGUGCACAUUAACUUGAUCUGGGCCAUCGUCUGCAUCUUAAAAUGGAUUUGAAAACACCUUAGAAGCUACCUGUGUGAAACAUGGUUCUAUGAAUGCAAAGGUUUCCUAUUAACACUUCACUCUUUGAAUGAAACUCCAUGGUUAGGCUGCAUUGACACCACCUUUGAGAUCUCAGGUUCCAUUCCAUGCCACAAUGAGGCACUGGAAUGGGACCCUAUGGGAGAUCUGACUAUAUGUCCCCAAACAUUUAAAAAAA